GCAAGUCGAACGUGAGGUCGAAAUGAUUACUUCGGUUUGAUUUUCGGUUGGAAAGUGGCGAACGGGUGAGUAACACGUAGGUAACCUGCCUCAAAGUGGGGGACAACCAUUGGAAACGAUGGCUAAUACUGCAUAAGUCCGAGCCGACGAGAGUCGGUUUGGGUAAAGCUCUGGCGCUUUGAGAGGGGCCUGCGUCCGAUUAGCUAGUUGGUGGGGUAAUGGCCUACCAAGGCGACGAUCGGUAGCUGGUCUGAGAGGACGAUC
rnacentral:rRNA from 1 species